UUUUUUUUUGGUUUUUCUUAAGGUUUAUCAAACACACAAGAAAAAAACUAGAAAAGGAAAAUUAAACUAGCAUGGAUAAUACAAUGAAAGAGUAUGAGCACCGAUGACUAGAAUAGUGUGUGAACAUGAAUGUAAAGUCGGUGAGAAAUACGUACUCCCCCAAGCUUAGGCUUUUGGCCUAAGUUGGUCUAAUGCCAAGGGUAGCCUGGCGUAGUUGUAACUGGGUUCGUACUGAGAUGCAGCAGCAAAUGCCUCCUGAGCUGCGGCAUGUUGGCGAGCCGCCUCCGCUCUCCCCUCGUGUUCAGCUGCUUCCUCCCUGGUAACAACAUAUCUUCCUUUUGCCUGGUAAUCAAAAACGAGAGGAGCGGGAAGAGUAACAUGGACAGCGUUGCAUCUGUCAUAGAUUAGUCGAUACUGGAGGAAUUGUUCGUUCCUCUUUAGAAAAUGAUGUUGGACCAUAGCGUCGUAAUCUAAAUAAGCAGAAGGUAACAUCAUAUCCCCCUCUCGUGGGGCUAUACCAAGAUAAUUAGCCACACGGGUCGCAUAAAUUCCCCCAGAUAAAUCUCCAGCUCUACCAUUAUUAUGCAACCUACGUGCAACUAUUGCCCCCAAGUUAUAAUCUUUAUAACCUAACACGACGCUCUUGAGGACACAAAGAUCAGGGACACACAUAUGAGAUGCUUCGUCUUUACCAUUAAUGCAUCUACCAAUGAAAAGAGCAAAAUAAUUUAUAGCAUGAAAAUGAAUGCUCCCUAUGGUAGCUUGUGCAAUGUCCCUAGAUUCUCCCACAGUAAUACUAGCAAGGAAAUCUCUAAAUUCAGAUUUGUGGGGAUCAUUAAUAUUGCCCCACUGCGGAAGUUUGCAAGCAGUUGUAAAAUCCUCUAAGUCCAUGGUAUAAGAUGUAUCAUAGAUAUCAAAUAGGACACUCGGAGAAUUACGUGUACAUUUAUAUUUAAAUCUCCGCACAAAUGAGUUAGUCAAUUGAUAGUACUGAGGACACUUAUCUUGUAAGAAGUCCUCCAGGUCGGCAUUACGCACAUAUGCGUCAAAUUCAUCCUUAAAGCCAACUUCGACCAUAAAAUCGACGGAUGGCCACUCACAAGCUCGUACAUCUGCGUCCCUCGGUAAUUCAACAUCUUGCUCAUGUAUAGCAAUCCUCGGUCCUUUCUUUACUGAGGAACCACCUUGGUACAUUCUCCUAGUCAUAAUUCUUUUUCUGAAAAAAUUCUAAAAUUUUAGUAACUUCAAAAUAAAAGUGAAUAAAACUAAACAAGAUUGAUAGCAACUACUCCUACAAGUGCCUAGAGCCUAUAUCAUGCAUUAGAAUUACUUGGGACCUCAUAAAUUUAACAUGCAAUCUCAAGAACAUGGUCACCUAUGCAGCAAAAAUUUGCAAUGAAUAAAGCACUAGAACAAAAACUAAUUGAACCAAUGGAGGAGUCACAUACCAAGCAACAAUCUCCCAAAGCAGUUUGUGAAUGGAGCUUUGAGCAAGGAGAUCGAAAAUCGCAGCAAAAUGAGCUAGAACUCGUGCUUGAGCUGGAUGGGGAUUUUUUUGGGAAGAAGAUGGAGUGUAUGGGUGCUGGCAUAAGUGGAGGGGGGACACCAGGGGCCCACGAGACAGGGGGCACGCCCAGGGAAGGUGGGCGCGCCCUCCACUCUUGUGGCCUGGUGCUUGCCCCUCCUGCGGUGAUUCAGUGCCUAAAAUCCUCAAAUAUUCCAUAAAAAAUUAUACUAAAUUUGCAGGGCAUUUGGAGCACUUUUAUUUUCGGGAUAAUUUUUUAUUGUACGGAUAAUCAGAAAACAGACAGAUAAUACUAUUUUUGCUUUAUUUAUUCUAAAUAACAGAAAGUAAAAAGAGGGUACGGAAGGUUGUGCCUUCUAGUUUCAUCCAUCUCGUGAUCAUCAAAAUGAAUUCACUAACAAGGUUGAUCAAGUCUUGUUAACAAACUCAUUCCGAAUAACACGGAACCAGAGAAAUUUCGAAUAACACUAAGUUACCUCAACGGGGAUAUCAACAUCCCCAACAAUAAGAAUAUCAUACUUUUUCUUGACAGUAGGGAGAGGAAAUUCAAAACCUCCAAUAAUGAUAGUUGGAACUUUUCCAAUAGAAUUGAUGCUAUGAACUUGAGAUUGUUUCCUCGGAAAGUGUACUGUAUGCUCAUUACCAUUAACAUGAAAGUGACAUUGCCUUUGUUGCAAUAAAUAACAGCCCCUGCAGUAUUCAAAAAGGGUCUACCAAGGAUAAUCGACAUACUAUCGUCCUCGGGAAUAUCAAGAAUAACAAAGUCCGUUAAGAGAGUGACAUUUGCAACCACAACAGGCACAUCCUCACAAAUACUGACAGGUAUAGCAGUUGAUUUAUCAGCCAUUUGCAAAGAUAUUUCAGUAGGUGUCAACUUAUUCAAUUCAAGUCUACGAAAUAAAGAGAGAGGCAUAACACUAACACCAGCUCCAAGAUCACAUAAAGUAGUUCUAACAUAAUUUCCUUUAAUGGAGCAUGGUAUAGUUGGUACCCCAGGGUCUCCAAGUUUCUUUGGUAUUCCACCCUUAAAAGUGUAAUUAGCGAGCAUGGUGGAAAUUUCAGCUUCUGGUAUCUUUCUUUUAUUUGUAAUGAUAUCCUUCAUAUACUUAGCAUAAGGAUUUACUUUGAGCAUAUAAGUUAAGCGCAUACGUAAGAAAAUAGGUCUAAUCAUUUCAGCAAAGCGCUCAAAAUCCUCAUCAUCAUUUGUCUUGGAUGGUUUAGGAGGAAAGGGCAUGGGUUUCUGAACCCAUUGUUCUCUUUCUCUACUGUGCUUCCUAGCAACAAAAUCUCUCUUAUCAUAACAUUGGUUCUUUGAUUGUGGGUUAUAAAGAUCAACAGCAGGUUCAAUCUCUACUUCAUUAUUUGUACUAGGUUGAGCAUCAACAUGAACAUUAUCAUUAACAUUAUCACUAGGUUCACGUUCAUCACCUGAUUGUGUUUCAGCAUCAGAGAUAGAAAUAUCGUUGGGGUUCUCAGGUGUGUCUACAAUAGGUUCACUAGAAGCAUGCAAAGUCCAAUUGUUUUUCUUUUUCUUCUUUUUAGAAGAACUAGGUGCCUCUAAAUUGUUUCUCUAAGAAUCUUGCUCGAUUCUCUUAGGGUGGCCUUCAGGAUACAAAGGUUCCUGAGUCAUUCUACCAGUUCUAGUAGCCACUCUAACAGCUAAGUCAUUUUUGUUGUUUAAUUCAUCAAGCAAAUCAUUUUGAGCUUUAAGUACUUGCUCAGCUUGAGUAGAAACCAUAGAAGCAUAUUUGCUAAUGAGUUUAAGUUCACCUUUAACUCUAGCCAUAUAAUCGCUCACGCGUCCUAUCUUGAAAGCAUUAUUCUUUAACUCUCUACCAACAUAAGCAUUAAAACUUUCUUGUCUAGCCAUAAAGUCAUCAAAUUCAUCUAAGCAUGGGCUAUGAAAUUUAGUAGAGGGAAUUUCAACUUUAUCAUAUCUAUAGAGAGAAUUUACCUUUACUACAUGUGUCGGGUUAUCAAGACAAUGUGGUUCUUCAACACGCGGUAUAUUAAUACCAUGUAUUUCUUCAAUGGGAGGUAAAUUCUUAACAUCUUCAGCUUUUAUACCUUUUUCUUUCAUUGAUUUCUCUUUGCCUCUUGCAUAUCUUCAAGACUGAGAAAUAAAACACCUCUCUUCUUCGGUGUGGGUUUAGGAAUAGGCUCAGGAGUUGGCUCAGUUGGUUCAGGAAUUGCCUCAGGAAUUGGCUCAGGGAGAGUCCAAUUAUUUUCAUUAGUCAACAUAUUAUUCAAUAGUAAUUUAGCUUCAUCGACUGUUCUUUUCCUGAAAACACAACCAGCACAACUAUCCAAGUAGUCCUUGGAAGCAUCGGUUAGUCCAUUAUAAAAGAUAUCAAGUAUUUCAUUUUUCUUAAGAGGAUGAUCAGGCAAAGCAUUAAGUAAUCGGAGAAGCCUCCCCCAAGCUUGUAGGAGACUCUCUUCUUUGAUUUGCACAAAAUUAUAUAUUUCCCGCAAGGCAGCUUGUUUCUUAUGAGCAGGGAAAUAUUUAGCAGAGAAGUAAUAAAUCAUAUCCUGGGGACUCUGCACACAACCAGGAGCAAGAGAAUUAAACCAAGUCUUAGCAUCACCCUUUAAUGAGAACAGAAAUAUCGUAAGGAUAUAAUAAUAGCGAGACUUCUCAUCACUAGUAAACAGGGUGGCUAUAUCAUUUAACUUGGUAAGAUGUGCCACAACAGUUUCAGAUUCAAGGCCAUAAAAAGGAUCAGAUUCAACUAAAGUAAUAAUCUCAGGAUCAACAGAGAAUUCAUAAUCCUUAUCAGUAACACAGAUAGGUGAAGUAGCAAAAGAAGGGUAAGGUUUCAUUCUAGCAUUAAGAGACUGUUGCUUCCAUUUAGCUAAUAAUUUUUUAAGAUCAUAUCUAUCUUUACAAGCAAAGAUAGCUCUAGCAGCUUCCUCUUCCAUAACAUAACCCUCGGGAACAACAGGUAAUUCACAAUCAGGGGGAGAACUUUCAUCAUCACUAUCAUCAAUAAUAGUGUCGGUGCCAAAACCAGCGAAUCUCGGGUAGGGGGUCCCGAACUGUGCGUCUAGGCGAAUGGUAACAUGAGACAAGGGACACAAUGUUUUUACCCAGGUUCGGGCCCUCUCGAUGGAGGUAAAACCCUACUCCUGCUUGAUUGAUAUUGAUGAUAUGGGUAGUACAAGAGUAGAUCUACCACGAGAUCAAGGAGGCUAAACCCUAGAAGCUAGCCUAUGGUAUGAUUGUUGUUCGUCCUACGGACUAAAACCCUCCGGUUUAUAUAGACACCGGAGAGGGCUAGGGUUACACAGAGUCGGUUACAAUGGUAGGAGAUCUACAUAUCCGUAUUUCCAAGCUUGCCUUCCACGCCAAGGAAAGUCCCAUCCGGACACGGGACGAAGUCUUCAAUCUUGUAUCUUCAUAGUCCUGGAGUCCGGCCAAUGAUGAUAGUUUGGCUAUCCGGACACCCCCUAGUCCAGGACUCCCUCAAAUAGCAUCUUCAAUAACUUCAUUCUCUCUAACCCUAGCAAGUUGUUCAUCAAGAAAUUCACCUAAUGGCAAAGUAGUAUCACGCACAAAAGUAGUUUCAUCAUAAGUAUCAUGCAUAGCAGAAGUGGCAUCAUCAAUAAUAUGCGACAUAUCAGAAUUCAUAGCAGUAGCAGGUUUAGGUGUCGCAAGCUUACUAAUAAUGGAAGGAGAAUCUAGUGCAGAGCUAGAUGGCAGUUCCUUACCUCCCCUCGUAGUUGAGGGCAAAAUCUUGGUUCUUUCGUCUUUCAAGAUCCUCAUAGUGAUCAACAGAUAUAAAUCCCAAGUGACUCAAAGAAUAGAGCUAUGCUCCUCGGCAACGGCGCCAGAAAUUAGUUUUGAUAACCCACAAGUGUAGGGGACCGCAACAGCUUUUGAGGGUAAAGUAUUCAACCCAAAUUUAUUGAUUCGACACAAGGGGAGCCAAAGAAUAUUAUUGAGUAUUAGUAGUUGAGUUUUCAAUUCAACCACACCUGGAUAACUUAGUAUCUGCAGCAAUGUAUUUAGUAGCAAGGUAGUAUGAUAAUAAAGGUAAUGGUAGCAAAAGUAAUAUUUUUGGGUUUUGUAGUGAUCGUAACAGUAGCAACGGAAAAGUAAAUAAGCGAAACACAAGAUGUGAAAAGGUCAUAGGCAAUGGAACAGUGAUGGAUAAUUAUGUCGGAUGCGAUUCCUCAUGUAAUAGCUAGAACAUAGGGUGACACAGAUAUAGCUCCAAUUCAUCAAUGUAAUGUAGGCAUGUAUUCCGAAUAUAGUCAUAUGUGCUUAUGGAAAAGAACUUGCAUGACAUCUUUUGUCCUACCCUCCCGUGGCAGCGGGGUCCUAGUGGGAACUAAGGGAUAUCAAGGCCUCCUUUUAAUAGAGAACCAGAACAAAGCAUUAGCACAUAGUGAAUACAUGAACUCCUCAAACUAUGGUCAUCAUCGAGAAGUAUCCCGAUUAUUGUCACUUCGGGGUUGUCGGAUCAUAACACAUAAUAGGUGACUAUAGACUUGCAAGAUAGGAUCAAGAACACACAUAUAUUCAUGAAAACAUAAUAGGUUCAGAUCUGAAAUCAUGGCACUCGGGCCCCAGUGACAAGCAUUAAGCAUAGCAAAGUCAUAGCAACAUCAAUCUCAGAACAUAGUGGAUACUAGGGAUCAAACCCUAACAAAACUAACUUAAUUACAUGGUAAAUCUCAUCCAACCCAUCACCGUCCAGCAAGCCUAUGAUGGAAUUACUCACGCACGGUGGUGAGCAUCAUGAAAUUGGUGAUGGAGGAUGGUUGAUGAUGAUGACAGCGACGAAUCCCCCUCUCCGGAGCCCCGAACGGACUCCAGAUCAGCCCUCCCGAGAGAGAUUAGGGCUUGGCGGUGGCUCCGUAUUAUAAAAUGCGAUGAAACUUUCUCUCUGAUUUUUUCCUCCACGAGACGGAAUAUGGAGUUGGAGUUGAGGUUGGUGGAGCUUUAGGGUGCCCAUGAGACAGGGGGGCGCGCCCAGGGGGUGGGCGCGCCCCCCACCCUCAUGGACAGGGUGUGGGCCCCCUGGUCUUGAUUCUUUCGCUAGUAUUUUUUAUAUUUUCCAAAACAUGCCUUCGUGGAUUUUCAGGACAUUCUGAGAAAUUUUGUUUUCUACACAUAAAACAAUAUCAUGGUAGUUCUGCAGAAAAGAGUGUCAGUCCGAGUUAGUUUCAUUCAAAUCAUGCAAGUUAGAGUCCAAAACAAGGGCAAAAGUGUUUGGAAAAGUAGAUACGUUGGAGACGUAUCAAUGCUCCAGUGCAUAUAAAUGGUUUAAAAUAGGACUGUGUGUCCUUGGUUACAUGCUUAAGUCUCAUGCAAGAAAUGAGAAGGAAUGCCAAACACCUUGCCACCACCGCUCGGCCGGUAACAUUGAGAUACAUGGUUUUUAAAUUCUAGUAAAUCGAAAACGCGUCCAAAAUUUAUGAAACUUGACAUGCUAGCAUGGAACGGCAUCAACAUGCAGUGGUAAAAAUAUUGUUGCAUUUGGGGCAGGUUGGGGUAUAUAAGCUUCUCACAAACCAAAGCUUCUCACAACAAGCCUCAUGGUUACGGUAGGGAAUGUUUCACCUUUCUGGACGAAACGAUAUCUGUUGCCUCUUCUUGAUUUCAAUUUUUUUUUCUAGUGACAACAUAGAACAACAUGGGUGUUGUGUUAGUUUUAGGAAUUUUUUUUCUGGGUUCGUUUGGACAUUUUAUACAUUAAUUGAGUUUUCAAUGCAUUUAUGUGCAUAAUUCAAAUUUGAACUACAUGCACAUUCUCUUAUGCAUAAUAAUUGGUUGAAAAUUCAAAUAUGUGUCCUUGGUUGCAUGCUUAGGUCCCAUGCAAGAAAUGGGAAUGAAUAUCAAACACCAUGCCACCGUCACUCGGCGGCAAACAUUGAGAUACCUACUUUUUAAAUUCUAGUAAAUCCAAAACUCUUCUUUAAUUCAAGAAACUUUGACAUGCUAUCAUGGAGCGGCAUCGACAUGUCGUGGUAAAUUUUUUGUCCCAUUUAGGGCAGGUUUGGGUAUAAACUUCUCACAAACCAGAGCUUCUCACAACAAGAGCCUCAUGGUUUCGGUAGGGAACGUACCACCUUUGGGGACGAAACGAUAUCCGUUGCCUGUUAUUAAUUUAAAUUUUUUUCUCUAGUGUCAACAUAAAACAACAGGAGUGUUGUGUUAAAAUUUGUAAUUUUUCAGGGUUCAUUUGGACAUUUUUAUACAUUAGUUGAGUUUUCAAUGCAUUUAUGUGCAUAGUUGUGGCACCCAGGCUCAGAGCAACUGGUUUACCUUGCAUUGCCAACACAAAGAUCAUGUCUUCUGGCAAUACACAACAUCUUGGUACAGAAAAUCACCGCUUUAUUGAAACUAGCGGAAGCAUAGUGUGACAUUACAUCAAGUAGAGAGGCCAAGCGGCACACUCGGUGCGGCUGACCAAUAUGUACAUUAUUUAGUGAACAUAAAGGGGUCUCGAGCACGACAUUUACACGGCAGCGGAACAACGACGUAGCAGGACUCCAUAGCACAGGGACGCCGAUGUGGACACGAUCUAGACACGGCAGCACUCCAAUCCAGUUAGACUUUCCUGAAAUCUUGCAUAACACACCAGGUCGGUACAUUGAAUGUACUUGCAAGCUCAUAGCAAGCAUAACCAUAAUGACAAACAAUAUCAUGACAUUUUAUCAAAUUUAAUGCAAACAACAAUGUGCUACUCAUGUACUGAAACCAAACUUGUGCACUGAGUCACUCGGACUCUCUUACCAACGGGUUGCCUCGCAACCAAACGGUGAUCAUAAUGGAUCGAAAAUAGAACCAUACUUGGUUCAACGGGUUACCUUGUAACCAAAAGGUGAUCACUCACGGAUCACAAAUGAUACCACAACAGUCAGCCUCACUGACAUCGUCAUGAAUUCAACUAGUGCAAUGCAAAUAACUUAGUGUGCAAGAUUUCUUUAUGAAAGUUGAUCCAUGGUGUGACUUACUUAUGAACUGGGCCCUUAUCCGGGGGCGCGGCUAUCGAUAGAUUAAUACACUCUGCAGAGGUAGCGCACUUUACCCACACCACGGAACCCAUGGCCUCGCACUCCCAUUCGGGUGAACCAACGGCAUUCCGACAGAACUCUCCCAUUGCCAUGACACUCUUUCGGCCACCCCGACCAACUCCCCACUGGGCUUAGUCAUGGGUGACCCUAGCCUACCAAAGGCAAAAUGACCAUCGUCGUGGCAAAUAAACGGUCCCAAAUGGGGACAAGGUACCAUAACAACAACAGGCUCACAAGGUUAUGUCUGCUUACCGGGCCAGGGUAACGAACGCCCAUAACCUUUUCUCGUUGGAGGCACCGACAAAAGGCAUGACAACAGAACGACUAAUGGCCUCCCCAUACUAAGUCAAAUGUGGUUGCACUUGUCAGCCCGAUUCAGUGGCACCAUGACCCAACCAACUUUAUGUUCAAGUUCAAUUAUCAUCAGGUUUAACUUGAAAUAAAAUGCUCGAGUCACUAUAUGCCAUGCUUAUGCAACCAUAUAUCAUGCAUCACAUAUCACUUAGAAACAAUAGAUCAACCUCAUUCAAAGUUCUACUUGCACAAACUCAUGUUUCAACAUUUCUGGUCCUUACUUACUGGUCAUCUAGAUUAAUCACUUUUUAGUUGGCAUUUAUCAUACGAAACUCAUCAUGCAUAUAAGGAAAAAUAAUACCAAUGCUCAUAUUACCAUAGCCAUGAUAAACUUACUUAGUUCAACUACUCAAGCUAUAUCUCACUAGGUCAAGCAUUCAUUUAUGUUAACUAAGCAUCUUGAUCAUGACAAACUAAAUAACACAAGCAUUAUUUAUUUUAAUACUAUAUGCAAUGAAUAUCAUAUAUAUUCAAGUGGAAAAUCAUGGAUAUUGCAAAGACACCAUGAAAAUGUUGUUGUGGCUUGCCUUAGUGCAGAGGAGCUUCACACUCCUCCUGGAUGCCUUCAAGACAAGCUUCACCUUCUGAAAAUAAAUCAAAUGACAAAAAGAAAAUAUCAAGAACACUUCUGAAAAUUACCAGAAAUUCUAGACAGCAGAGAAAACUCUCAUCAUGGGUGUGCUGUUAGGAUUUUCUAGUAAGAAAACAAUGCAAAAAGAAUCAACUCAUUUGGACUUGUAGAAUAAAAGUUACAUCUCGUCAAAGUUUUGGUCAAAUUUGAAUUAAAUUUGAAUAAAAGAAAAACCAGAGGGGGUGACAUCGAAGGCGUAAACCAGCAGGGCGCCACCACUCAUACUGCUUCGGGAACGGCCCGAGUGGCUAACAGCGGGCCCCAACGGUCAGGUUGGAGUGGGAGGGGGAGAGAAGCAGAGUCGGGCAGCGCGGCGGCGGCACUUUCUCCGGUGUGGAGUGCCCGACGACGAGAUCUGAGAGGAUAGGAACAGAAAGGAUAUCGAGGCGCACCUGCCCGUACCCAUAGCAUUGCUAGGGAUGGCCGGACGGGGUCGGAAUGAAGCUCUCCAGCGGCGGCAGCGGGUGGAGCUCAUCGAAGAUGGUGAUUCCAGUGAAGCAGGGCCAGUCCAGCAGCUCCAACAGCACCAGCACGCACCAGUGGACCACCACGGACACGCCGGAGAAGUCAGCAGAGCUCGAACAACUGUGGAGAGGGAGGGGCAGUGGACGGGGAUCGCCGGUGAGCUUGAGGCGGGGACGGCGGCCAGAGGCCUGCCCGGCCGGGCUGCGGCUUCCUACGGUGUUAUGGAGGUGUGUUGAGAGUGUGUGUGCAGAGAAACGAGCUCGGGGGGCUCUAUUUAUAGUCCAGGCCGAGGCAGGAUCGAGAGCUCACCGGAGCUCUCUGGAGUGGCGCUCGGCGAUGAAUGGCAUCUGUGAGAGGGAGAGAAGGCGCCGGAGAUCAUGUGGGGACUGUAGCGAGCAGCGACGAGCACAGGAGCAUGGUACGCGAUGAGCACAGGGGCACGGGCGCACUGUUGGCUUGGCCGAGCCGUGCCUGUGCUCACUGCGGCGAGCUCCAGCGUCGGUGAGGGCCAGGGCGGAGUUAAGGAGGUGCAUAUGAGCAUGGGGGCGCAGUUUGGCAAGGUGCGGCAGCCCGCACAGCGAGCACGCGCAAAACAGAGGCACUGGCGCAUCGCAGAGUGCGUCGGCCGCAUGCCAACCCCCUUGGACGAAUGUGGUCACCGCGUGAACUUUGGCAUCAGGUUGAGCUAAGCGCAAACACCAAGUCUGGCAUGUAGUCCUUAGUGGUUUUAGUUGUUUUGCACAGUUGGCUGGGUCACAGGUGAACUGUGUGAGUGGGUUUCUUCCUGGCAAGUUUCUGGACAGAAACUUGUGAGCUUCACUGAGAAAAAUCUAGUGAGAACUAAGGGUUGUGCUUUGGGGUUUAGCAAUCUCUUAGGAUGGUAAUGAAGCUCAGAAAAGAUCAGCCCCAAAUGACCAAGCAAAAAUAUACUUGUUGUGUAAUGUGGUCAUUUUGUCCAGAACAGAAAUGAUUUUCUGUAGCAAAAUAUUACAAAAAAUUAUGCAUUAUUUUUGCUCAUGAAGGUGCCCUAGGGUUCAAAGAAUAUUUGUGAAUUUACUCGGGAUUUUAGGAGCAACAAAAAUAGGAAUUGCUUUGGAGCGUACUUCUCUGAAGUGAUUUUCAGGGAAGAAAAUGAAUAUUUUUCUUUUAUGAGAAAUAUUCCUUGGGCUUUCGUUUGAGCUUUUCAGAGAAGGAAAGGUGAGUUAGAGGUGGACAGGUCACUUGGGUGAAAGUCAAGUGUAGGCCCAAGUGUUGAAGUCCAUUUGAAUUGAUUCAAAACUCCAAAUCCAAAGCAAAUGCAAAAGAACGUCCGAAAAAAGAGAGAAGGCAAAUCCAGGCUGUCACAAACCUCCCCCACUUAAGAUGAAUCUCGUCCUCAAGAUUCGGUUGCUUGGGAAACAAUUCUGGGUAGGUUGUUCUUAAAAAUUCCUCUCUUUCCCAGGUUGCUUCUUCUUCGGCGUGAUGCUCCCACUGGACCUUGUAAAACUUGAUCGCUUUGCUGCGUGUGACCCUUUCUGCCUCAUCCAAGAUUCUGAACAGUCUCUCCUCAUAAGUUAAAUCCUUGGCAAGCUCAAUUUCUGACAUAUCAGUCCUCUUCUCGGGUGGUGAAAUACACCUUCUCAGCUAUGAUACGUCAAACACGUUGUGCACUUCCAACAAUUCUGGUGGCAAUUCCAACUGAUAAGCAACUGUGCCAACACGGGUCAUGACUGGGAAUGGACCAAUUAUCUUGGUGCCAAUUUGCCUCGGGCCUGAAAUCUCUUGAUUCCCUUCAUGGGUGUGACUCAAAGAUACACGUGUUCACCAGGCUCAAAGCUAACUUGCCGAUGUUUGGCAUCAUAAUAACUCUUCUGUCGUGACUUAUCCCGUUGCAGUCUAUCUCGAAUUUCCUUGACUUGUUUCUCUGCCUCCAAUAUCAAAUAAGUAUCAAAGAUACGGCUGUCUCUGGUUUGAGACCAAUUUAAUGGAGUACGGUACUUACGGCUGUACAAAGCUUCAAAUGGUGACAUCUUCAGACUGGUUUGAAAAUUGUUGUUGUAAGAGAAUUCCGCAUAUGGCAGACAAUCUUCCCAUUUGGGCCCAUGGGCUAAAGCACAUGCUCGAAGCAUGGCUUCAAGGAUUUGAUUUACCCGCUCAGUCUGACCGUCUGUCUGUGGGUGAUAGGCGGUGCUGUAUUUGAGAGCGGUCCCUAGAACUUGAUGGAUUUGGGACCAGAAUGCUGAGGUAAAGAGCGAACCUCGGUCAGAAGUGACUGUUUUUGGUACUCCAUGCAAACUGACAAUCCUGGACACAUAUAAUUGUGCAAGUUGAUUAGUGCAAUAGGUGGUGCGGAUGGGAAUAAAGUGAGCCACUUUAGUCAACAUGUCCACUAUGACCCAUACAGCAUCAUUGCCUCGGUGAGUCUUGGGUAGACCGGUGAUAAAGUCCAUGCAGACAUCAUCCCAUUUAGAUUGCAAGAUGGGUAGAGGUUGGAGAAGUCCGGUGAGUUUCUGGUGUUCCGCCUUUACUUUGUUGCAGAUGUCACAACAAGCGACAAAAUAUGCGAUGUCCCUUUUCAUUCCAUCCCACCAAAAUAUCUGUCGAAGGUCUUCGUACAUUUUAGUGUCGCCUCGGUGUAUCGAAUAUGAGGACUCGUGCGCUUCUGCCAAAAUUUUCUUUCUCAAGUCUGCUUGCUCGGGUACGCAUAUCCGUCCUUGGAACCUGAGUGUACCCAGUGCGUCCUUAGAGAAAUCCUGAGUUUGGCCUUCUCGCGGACGGUGGAGAUGUCCUUGCAGAGUCUUGUCGUCAGCCUGUGCAAUGCGAAUCUCCUCCUUGAGAGUAGGAGUUACUUCCAAAAUAUUUGCAAGACCGGCAUUUACAAUUACCAAGUUGAGCUGAGUGAUCUCUUGUUGGAGUUCCGGGGGCAAGGACUCCAUCAUGGCAUUUAAACUGGCAGGCUUGCGACUGAGGGCAUCAACAACCAUGUUGGCUUUUCCCGGAUGGUAAUUUAUUCCCAGAUCAUAGUCCUUGACCAACUCGAGCCAUCUUCACUGUCGAAGCUUUAAGUCUGGCUAGGUAAACAUAUAUUUGAGACUCUUGUGGUUGGUAAAUAUUCGACACCUUUUUCCAAUGAGGUAAUGUCUCCAAAUCUUUAGAGAGUGCACAACAACGGCCAGUUCCAAAUCAUGUGUAGGAUAAUUUCCUUCAUGAGGUCGUAGCUAGCGAGAUGCGUAAGCUACCACCUUGCCAUCUUGCAUGAGUACGCACCCAAUAUCCUUUUUGGAUGCGUCACAAUACACAUCAAAGCUGCGGUAAAUGUCUGGGAGAGUCACUACCGGUGCUGAUGUCAACCUGGUUUUUAUCUCGUUAAAGCUCUUCUCGCAAUCCUCAGUCCAUUCAAACUUCUUGUCUUUCUUGAGGAGUUCUAUCAUUGGCUUGGAAAUUUUAGAAAAUCCUUCGAUGAACCGAUGGUAGUAUCUGGCUAAUCCAAGAAAACCCAGAAUUUUGGAUAUCGUCGUGGGUGCUGCCCAAUCAAGCACAUCUUUUACUUUGCUGGGAUCCACUGCAAUACCUUCUGCUGAUAGAACAUGUCCUAGUAAUCCAACUUGUUUGAGCCAAAACUCACACUUGCUGAAUUUUGCAUAAAGCUGAUGGUCAUGGAGUCUCUGUAAGACUGCUCGGAGGUGUUCCUUGUGUUCUUCGUCACUUUUAGAGUAUAUGAGAAUAUCAUCGAUGAAAACCACCACAAACUUAUCCAAGAAUUCCAUGAACACCUUAUUCAUCAUAUGCAUGAAAAAGGCGGGGGCAUUUGUGAGACCUAAAGACAUCACUGUAUAUUCAUAGAGAUCGUAACAGGUAGUGAACGCGGUCUUAGGAAUAUCUUCCUUCUUGAUCUUGAGUUGAUGAUAUCCGGUCCUUAAAUCAAUCUUGGAAAAUACUUUUGCCCCACUAAGUUGAUCGAACAAAUCAUCAAUCCUUGGUAGCGGGUAGUUGUUAUUGAUGGUGACAUCGUUCAUCCGACGGUAGUCCAUGCACAUUCUGAGACUGUCGCCUUUCUUGUCUACAAAUAUUGUGGGUGAUCCCCAUGGUGACGAGCUUGGGCGGAUAUAUCCUUUCUGCAGCAUCUCAUCAAACUGUUUCUUUAAUUCCACGAGUCUGGAUGAAGGCAUUUGAUAAUACUUUUUGUACAAUGGUGCAGUUCCAGGUACAAGAUCAAUUGCAAACUCAAGCUCUCUGUCUGGAGGCAUUCCAGGUAAUUCCUCGGGGAAUACAUCGGGAAAUUCACUGACCACAGGAAUCAGAUCCAAUUCUUCGGCUACUGCUGUGAAGACCAAUUCUCCUUUGGGUAUGCUUUUGCGGGCAUAGAAUUUUAUGGAUCGCCCUUCCUGAUUUGUCAAGGUGGCUUCUCAGGUUGCAAAAUUUAUGCAUACUUGAUAUUGGGUCAACCAGUUCAUUCCCAAAAUAACAUCCAACUUGGCAGACUCGAUGACUAUCAAAGCGGUUGUAAAACAGACUUCUUGAUAUCAAUUUCCAAACUUUUGCAGACCAGAUUGCUUUUGAAUACAGAUCCCGGGGAUUGAACCAUCAUACUUUUUCCCAAAAGCGAGCAAGGAAAUUUGUUUUGGGCAAUGAAACUCCGAGAAACAAAAGAGUGGGAAGCCCCAGAGUCAAAUAAAAUUAUUGUGGGUAUGUUAUUAAUGAGAAACAAACCAAUGAUGACAUCGGGGUUUUCUUUGGCUUCGUCCGCGGAGAGGUGAUGAACUUGCCCUUGGACGAUCUUCUGGGUAUGAUAUGGCCCCAUGUGAUUGACUUGCGGCCAGAACGGGGCAUUUGACUUCUUGGGACACUGCCUGGCAUAAUGUCCGGUAUUUCCACAAUUAAAGUAGGCAUUGUUGCAUUGAUGCUCCUCGUGCACUGGACUGGUCACGACAUUCUUGACUUGAGUAGUGGUCUUGUUCACAUUCUCCUACCAAUUUAGUUUGUACUCCACUUGAGUCUGUUGCUAGGUACAGGUCUUUUGCAUGGGUUGUCCGUCCUUUUUUGGCUCAAAUUUACGCUUGUGGUCAUUAUUUGCACGUCAGUUGUCUUGCACAGGCUUGUACUCUCUUUCUGCGAUGAGGGCCUUGUUCACCAGAGACUAAAAAUCUGGAAAGUCAAGCAUGCAUAGAUCACUCGUAAGGUGUUGAUUUAAUCCUCCAAGGAACCUAUCGAUCUUCAUUUCUUCCGUGGCCACAUCAUAGAGGGAAUAGGGUCAGAUGGUUGAACUUGUGCAAAUAUUCACUUACGGACAGACUUCCUUGAGUGAGACCAAGGAAUUUGCGUUGCUUGACCUUCAUGAUACCAGCUGGAAUAUGGUACUUGAGAAAUUGGUCCUUGAAAUUAGUCCACGUGAUUUCUUCUCCUGCAAGCCACAAACCUUUAGCAUUAUCCCACCAUAUAGCAGCGGCUCCUUCAAGAUAGUGGGUAGCGAACGGAACCUUGUCAGCUUCAUCGGUGCGAGCAAUUUCAAGUUUCUUCUUGAUAGUUUGUAACCAAUCAUCUGCUUCCAAAGGGUCAACCACUUGACUGAAACUACGAGGCUUAGUCCUUUGAAAAUCUGACAGUUUGGAGUGAUGGCCAUUUUGAUUCCCAUUCUGCCCAACCAUAGCUUGCACACUUUUUAACAGCUCAAUCAGAUCAUUGUUCCUUCUUUCUUCAAACAUGCGCAUAAUUUGUUCAGUGGAGGGUGGAUUUGGCAGUGGAGGCGGUGGUUGCGGAUACGGCUCGGGGGAGUGCCCUUCCUGUCUUGCUGAGCGACGAACAGGGACAUCCUCACAAGCUUGCGUGCUGCUACCUCCCCGCAUCAUCCUACUGUUUAUUUUUCCCAAUAAGAGCAACCAUGAUGAGCAACAUCCAAACAUGGGAAGAAAAGCCAGUGACAAACCCGAAAGAGCAAAACAAACAAAUCGAGAAACACGACGAUCGAAUAAAAACUCCAACAUAAUUAUACAUAGACUCAUACAUUAAAGAUAGACAUCAUGACUGGUGCAACUACUCGCACACAUGCAACGAUACAUCAUGGCUCAUACAACUACAUCUGUACAUCACAUGACCACUGCGAAUACUCAGACGCUCUAGGACUCUGCCGGUGCUACCGGAUCCUCUCCUGAGUCAGACCCAGAUCCUGAACUGACGAUGCUAACCGAGACCUCCGGGUUAAAGGUAACAUGACAAUGUUGCCUCGAGGUCUCUCCCUCAGGGGUAGGCGUGGGAUGAGAAGGGAUCAUGGGAGCUGCAGGGGUAGCAAGAAGAGACGCCCACUCAGCAGGAGCACUGUGUGGGUUCAUAGUUGAGGUGCCCAGGCUACUCGGGGGAGUAAUCGGGGAAAUAGGCGAGCUAGAAUUAGGCACAAUAUAAGGAGUAAAUUCCAUAGAAGGUGGAGUAGGGUAGGAUCUAGCAGCGGCUAAAGUAGAGCGAGCACGAUUCAGCUCUCGAGCCAACUCGUGAAUCAGAAGAUAACUGGCAGUGAUAUAUCGAGAAAGGUGGCUAGUGUCACUAUUAGACGCCGGAUCAACGGAAUGAAAGCGAACAUGACCAUCAUCAUGCAAAGAUGGGUAGAAGUGAAAACCUGGGUGGUUCUGCAUCCGAGCCUCUAUAAAGCGUAACUCAACAAGAAUCUCAAAUGCAGCAUACUGGACGGCCUGAGCGGUGGUGGAUGCAUAACUACUCCGAGAGGUACGAGUGUAAGAGCCUGCUGACGAACUAGUGUGCAGAGUAACCACGACAUGAUACUCAUACACGGAGUCGACUAGAUGCUCCCAGUACACCCGAUAUGUUGGGUCGUCACCGUGAGGGUACAGUCGACGCCACACAUUAUGAAGAAGAUGCAGUGAAGUGUAUGGCAUCAGUUCCAACGGACACGGAUACGGCACCGGAGCCAUCUACACUCACAACCAUUAACCGGUUAGUAAUAACAAUAAGUCUAAUGCAUACAAUGCAGCAUCCAGAUGCAAACACAAACGUCACUCAAGUAGAAAACUAACUAGCGUUUACUUCACGUGUCGGGGUCUAGCGUGUCCUACAGUCAGCGUGGCUUGGAUACCAAGCGUUGUGGCACCCUGGCUCAGUACAACCGGUUUACCUUGCAUUGCCAACCCAGAGAUCAUGUCUUCUGGCAAUACACAACAUCUUGGUACAGAAAAUCACCGCUUUAUUGAAACUAGCGGAAGCAUAGUGUGACAUUACAUCAAGUAGCAAGGCCAAGCGGCACACUCGGUGCGGCUGAACAAUAUGUACAUUAUUUGGUGAACAUAAAGGGGCCUCGAGCACGACAUCUACACAGCAGCAGAACAACAACGUACCAGGACUCCAUAGCAUAGGGACACCAAUGUGGACACGGUCUAGACACGGCAGCACUUCGAUCCCGUUAGACUUUCCUGAAAUCUGGCAUAACACGCCAGGUCAGUACAUUGAAUGUACUUGCAAGCUCAUAGCAAGCAUAACCAUAAUGACAAACAAUAUCAUGGCAUUUAAUCAAAUUGAAUGCAAACAGCAACAUGCUACUCAUGAAGUGAAACCAAACUUGUGCACUGAGUCACUCGGACUCUUUUACCAAUGGGUUGCCUCACAACCAAACUGUGAUCAUAACGGAUCACAAAUAGAACCAUACUUGGUUCAACGGGUACCUUGUAACAAAACGGUGAUCACUCAUGGAUCACAAAUUAUAACACAAUAGUCAGCCUCACUGACAUCAUCAUGAAUUCAACCAUUGCAAUGCAAAUAACUUAGUGUGCAAGAUUUCUUUAUGAAAGUUGAUCCAUUGUGUGACUUACUUAUGAACUGGGCCCUUAUCCACGGGCGCGGUUAUCGAUAGAUUACUACACUCUGGAGAAGUAGCGCACUUUACCACACCACGGAACCCAUGGCCUCGCACUCCCAUUCAGGUGAACCAACGGCAUUCCGACAGAACUCUCCCAUUGCCGUGACACUCUUUCGGCCACCCCAACCAACUCCCCACUGGGCUUAGUCAUGGGUGGCCCCAGCCUACCAAAGGCAAAAUGACCAUCGUCGUGGCAAAUAAACGGUCCCAAACGGGGACAAGGUACCAUAACAACAACAGGCUCACAAGGUUAUGUCUGCUUACCGGGACAGGGUAACGAACGCCCAUAACCUUCCCUCAUUGAAGGCACCGACAAAAGGCAUGACAACGGAACGACUAACGGCCUCCCCAUACUAAGGCAAAUGUGGUUGCACUUGUCAGCCCGAUUCAGUGGCACCAUGACCCAACCAACUUUAUGUUCAAGUUCAAUUAUCAUCAGGUUUAACUUGAAAUAAAAUGCUCGAGUCACUAUAUGCCAUGCUUAUGCAACCAUAUAUCAUGCAUCACAUAUCACUUAGAAACAACAGAUCAACCUCAUUCAAAGUUCUACUUGCACAAACUCAUGUUUCAACAUUUCUGGUCCUUACUUACUGGUCAUCUAGAUUAAUCACUUUUUAGUUGGCAUUUAUCAUACGAAACUCAUCAUGCAUAUAAGGAAAAAUAAUACCAAUGCUCAUAUUACCAUAGUCAUGACAAACUUACUUAGUUCAACUACUCAAGCUAUAUCUCACUAGUUCAAGCAUUCAUUUAUGUUAACUAAGCAUCUUGAUCAUGACAAACUAAAUAACACAAGCAUUAUUUAUUUUAAUACUAUAUGCAAUGAAUAUCAUAUAUAUUCAAGUGGAAAAUCAUGGAUAUUGCAAAGAAACCAUGAAAAUGUUGUUGUGGCUUGCCUUAGUGCAGAGGAGCUUCACACUCCUCCUGGAUGCCUUCAAGACAAGCUUCACCUUCUGAAAAUAAAUCAAAUGACAAAAAGAAAAUAUCAAGAACACUUCUGAAAAUUACCAAAAAUUCUAGACAGCAGAGAAAACUCUCAUCAUGGGUGUGCUGCUAGGAUUUUCUAGUAAGAACACAAUGCAAAAAGAAUCAACUCAUUUGGACUUGUACAAUAAAAGUUACAGCUAGUCAAAUUUCUGGUCAAAUUUGAAUUAAAUUUGAAUAAAAGAAAAACCAGAGGGGGGUGACGUCGAAGGCGUAAACCAGCAGGGCGCCACCACUCAUACCACUUCAGGGCGCAGCAUGAGUGGCUGACAGCGGGCCCCAUCGGUCAGGUCAGAGGGGGAGGGGAGAGAAGCGGAGUCGGGUGGCGCUUUCUUCAGCGAGGAGUGCCCGGCGACGUGAUCUGAGAGGAUAGGAAUGGAGAGGAGAUCGAGGCGCACCUGCCCGUACCCGUAGCAUGGCUAGGGUUGGCCGGACGGGGUCGGAACGAAGCUCUCCAGUGGUGGCAGCGGGCGGAGCUCGUCGGAGAUGGUGAUUCCGGCGAAGCAGGGCCAGUCCAGUAGCUCCAACAGCACUAGCACGCACCAGUGGACAACCACGGACAUGCCGGAGAAGUCAGUAGAGCUUGAGCGGCUGUGGAGAGGGAGGGGGCAGUGGACGGGGAUCACCGGCAAGCCCGGGGCGGGGACGAUGGCUAGAGGCCUGCCUGAACGGGCUGAGGCUUCCUACGGUGUUGUGGAGGUGUGUUGAGAGCGUGUGUGUAGAGAAACGAGCUCGGGGGGCUCUAUUUAUAGGCGAGGUUGGGGCGGGGAUCGAGAGCUCACCGGAGCUCUCUGUAGUGGCACCCGGUGACGUCAGUGAAAGGUGGAGAAGGCGCCAGAGAUCACGCGGGGACUGUAGGCGAGCAGGGAUGAGCACAGGAGAGCGGUACGCGACGAGCACAGGGGCAUGGGCGCACUGUUGGCUUGGUCACGCCGUGCCCGUGCUCGCUGCGGUGAGCUCCAGCAUCGGCGAGCGCCAAGGCAGAGUUAAGGAGGUGCAGACGAGGAUGGGGGCACGAUUUGGCAAGGUGCGAUGGCCCGCACAGCGAGCACGUGCAAAACAGAGGCGUUGGCGCACCGCAGAGCGCGUCAGCCGCAUGCCAACCCCCUUGGACGAACGUGGUCACCGCAUGAACUUUGGCAUCAGGCUGAGCUAAGCGCAAACACCAUGUCUGGCAUGUAGUCCUUAGUGGUUUUGGUUGUUUUUCCCGGUUGGUUGGGUCACAGGUGAACUGUGUGAGUGGGUUUCUUCCUGGCAAGUUUCUGGGCAGAAACUUGUGAGCUUCACUGAGAAAAAUCUAGUGAGAACUAAGGGUUGUGCUUUGGGGUUUAGUAAUCUCCUAGGAGGGUAAUGAAGCUCAGAAAAGAUCAGCCCCAAAAGACCAAGCGAAAAUAUAGUUGUCGUGUAAUGUGGUCAUUCUGUCCAGAACAGAAAUGAUUUUCUGUAGCAAAAAUAUUAUAAAAAGUUAUGCAAUAUUUUUGCUCAGGAAGGUGCCCUAGGGUUCAAAGAAUAUUUGUGAAUUUAUUCAGGAUUUUAGGAGCAAUAAAAAUAGGGGUUGCUUUGGAGCAUACUUCUCUGAAGUGAUUUUCAGGGAAGAAAAUGAAUAUUUUUCUUUUAUGAAAAAUAUUCGUUGGGCUUUUGUUGGAGUUUUUCAGAGAAGGAAAGGUGAGUUAGAGGUGGAUAGGUCACUUGGGUGAAAGUCAAGGGUAAGCCCAAGUGUUCAAGUCCAUUUGAAUUGAUUCAAAACUCCAAAUCCAAAGCAAAUGCAAAAGAAAGUCCGAAAAAAGGGAGAAGGCAAAUCCAGGUUGUCACAAUAAUUCAUAUUUGAACUACAGACACAUGCUCUAAUGCAUAUAAAUUGGUUGAAAAAUUCAAAUCCGUGUCCUUGGUUGCAUUCUUAGGUCCUAUGCAAGAAAUGGGAAUGAAUGUCAAACACCCUGCCACCGUCACUCGGCCGCAAACAUUGAGAUACCUACUUUUUAAAUUAACCUCAUUACCGGAUGUUCAUCAAAGUGAUGGAUGACGACCUUGUGAGCCCACAGAAAGCGUCACACACGAGUAUCGAGUGUCGUGUAGGACAACCAUCGACUUCAUGUGGCCAAAACAUGUAUGUAUGAAAGGGUUGUGUAAUGUUUUAACUUACGAAUUCACGACUCUGAUGUGGCACCGGCCUACCUAAUAAAAUGGCCAACCCACAUGGUGGCUCACAACUCGUAGUGUACUGCAACCCACCUGCCACCCCCAGACACACACACACCACAAAUCCACCGCAACUACAAUGCAUGUUAAAUUAAUUACCCGCGGUGAACAUAUAUAUGUUACCAAAGGAGGGACGUUUUAAUUUCGAAAAAAAUCAGAUAUCAUUAAGACGUUUUAGUACAUUAAUUGAUUGAUUUCUACGGGUACAAUGUGCAAAAAUCAAAUUCGAGCUACAUGCACACGUGACAGUGCACCUAAAUGGAUUGCAAAAACACAUGUGUGUCACUGGGUGCAUGUUUACUCCCCGUGCAACAAAUUUCAAACAAUGAGAAUCUUGAUCUUUAAAUUCUAGUACAUCCAAAACUUAUUUGAAGUUCAUGAAACUUAUCGUGUUGUCAUAUGGACACCAAUAUAAAGUUGCAUUAUACUUUUUUGGUCAAAUUUGAGACCAGUCCUGAUGUAAUCUUUAUCUAUUUACAAAUGGGAGAUUAUUAAUAAUUGGGAACCAAUAUCCCAAAUGGAUUAUUUAUUCGAACCGUGAGCGUUAGACCAACCAUGCAUACGCGCCAUGCUUCGGUUAAGCAAUAAAGCGGCAGCAUUAAACAUCCAAAUAGAAAAACAAUAUACGUUGGAUUAUAUACAACAAGUCAUCAACACACAACGACAAUGAGGAUACAUGUUGGAUUAUAGAUUAUUUCCAACAAAACAUUCUAGUAAAUACUAAAGUUUUUCUCACAAACAAAUAACAAAGCGAUGAAAUGAACUUCAGCUCAACCAAUUCUCGGCAUUGGAAAUGCUUUGAACCAUAACUGAUUCUCUAGGAAAGGCCUGCUAUUGUCAAUCUCGAGACCAACGCAGGACUGAUCAUCCAGGCUGAAGCGGCCUAUAGGACGCAUAUUGUGAUAGUGAGGGUAGGGAACCAUAGCAAUGUCCGAGGUAUAGAUACAAUUGCUUCUCAUAAAUGAUAGUAACAUUGUGUCAAUAGCAGCUGGAUCGCCUUUCACCAUCAUUGGAUAGUUUUGUCCAAGGAAGAGCGAGUUUUCUCCAAGACUAUCAAUACUGAACCAGGGAGAAGGUGUUGGCGCUAGCACACGAGUAUCCAUCCCAAAUACCCUGCAAUAGAUGUUGGAAUAGGUCCGGAGAGUGCGACCAUGGGAGACAACACCUACUUCGUUAGUAACAUCAACAGUGUCCUGUAUACAUACAAGAAGAGGUGAUCCAUCGGAAUAAGUUGCCAGGCGCCACUGAGUAUAUAGUUCCUGCUCGUCAUCAUGCUCGUGAUCAUCACCAUCGUCAUCUCCCCCUUGGUUAUAAAAAAUUUCAAGUAUAGGUGGUGGAAUGUUCACAGGACCUUGGAAACACAAGAAGGUCAAUUAGUAAAGGGAAACUAGCUAACCCGCAUGCAUGUGGAUGAAACAAUUAUAAUUACAGUGGAUGACAAACGUACCGAAACCAUAAGGAUUCCAUGCAAAAACAGUGCCGCGAGUGGUGGCAGCAAACACAAGACCCUCGUAUUGAAUUGCAUCACAGUACUCAUCCAUGUACAAAAAUUGAUUUUUGAGCAAUAUCCAUCGAGGCGUGGAAGUAAGGACGGCAACAAGCUUUUCGAAGAUAGCAACAACUUCAUAGUUCUUGUAAUCUCAAGAGUGGUUGGGAACUCGACAAAUUGCUAUCUUCUGUAGACAACAGCCACCAUGAUCGUAUUCGAACGUACGUAGAUCAUCUGUGUGCUCAACCUCAGGGCAUUCUGUGAAUUUUGGAAGUGGAACCCGGUGACAAGUGUACACAUUCGCAAGUUCCCACUCGCAGUUAUACCCAAUAUAAACAACCCAAUCUCCAUUUGCGCCUACCCAAGCCUUACCCUCAAGCGAUGGCAUCUUAACAUCACACGUAUCAUUAUCAAGCGGCAUCAACUUGCACAAGGCGUGGCUUCCGUCGUCCUCACGUCGGCGACCAGCGUCAUGGCGAAGAAGAUAGGGGAGAUCAAAUUGCUCCUGAACCCUUGGGUUCUUUGCAAUGAUGUUAUUUGUUGAGUUGAGAAUGGACUUGAACGAACCUGCCAUGCUAGCCGAGGUGAUGACGUCGCACCGAUCAAUGAGUUCCUCCACCACGUCGUCUUUCAGAUUGGGGCAAGAAUAACAGGAUCGUUUCCGGCCUGUUCCCUCCAUGGAGAAGACGAUCGAACAAUAGUAGAAGGAAGGGUGAAGGGAAAUGAAGGGAGGAAGAGCGUGCCACAAUAGUUCCAAAUCGAGAGGGAAAGGCGAAGAGGCGGUGGACGGUUGCCACGGUACACGAAGAGGCUAGUGGGGAGCGAACGGUUGCCACAGAGAGGUCACACACUGACAACAAGGCCGUCCUCUCAGACCUAGCACCCGCACGGGAUGGCUUCCAUCCCCCACAUGAGCGAAGCCACUUCUCACCCCACACGGUUGGUCCGCCAUGCUGCUAAGAGCAAGUACUACAAUAGUGGGCUUGUAGCCUGCUUACAUGGCAAUUUUGCCUAUGUGGAGGAGAGAGACAUGAAGGAUUCCUGCAACAAGGACAAGCGUGCCUGGCACUCGGCCGUUAUGGAGAAACUCGACAAGGCUCACGUUGUGUACGCGGCCAAGGAGGCGUACACGUGCUACGACAUGUACAGGCGGAUCGUUGACAUGAGGAAGUGCCUCCUUCCCCAAAAUAGCCAGGGAUCCAGCCGGAAGAAGAGCAAUGGCAAGUGUCAUCACAACAAGAAGUAGAUGAUUCGAUCCUCGUUUCUCCUAGUUUAGUAUGCAUGUAAUUGCUUACUUUGGUGUGUGGAAAUGUUAUGUGUGUAGUCACUUGUGUAACUAUAUGCUUAAUUUGGUUAUGCAAUGUUGUCUUUUUAAGUUUAUAUGUUGAUGCUCUGUAGACAGAGCAAAUCACAUCGCACACGGACUAAACAAUGAAACCCGUCAGUGAUGAUUUCAUGAAUCACUGACAAUUGUAUACCAGCAAUCUUUGCUCACAACACACAUGGCUUCUUAAUAGGAAUGGUCUGUGUUGUUAUCGGUCUUCCCACACAUUUCUGAUUAUAGACCUGUUUGUCGUGUAUCACACACAUCUUGUUAAGUUGAACCAUUUUUGUUCUCUUGUCUCAACUUAAAUAGUUCAUCUGAGUGAACUGUAUGCCGUAUAUCGCACACACCUUCAUCUGGCUGCCCGUUUCUGUUGUUCCGCCUCAUCGCAAACAGUUCAUCCAUGUGAACCGUAUGCUCUACAUCGCACACGCCUUCAUCUGUCAGCCCAUUUCUUUUGUUCCUCCUCAUCGCAAACAGUUAAUUAAACUGAACCGUAUGCCCUGCAUCGCACACACAACCCAAAUCUGAACCGUGUUUGAUGCGUCCAUCAUCGCAAAUGUUUUGCACCUUUUUGACGGGUUUUUUACACCAUCGUUUGCGAUUAGUGCACCCCACACAAUUUCGUCAAAGGGUCUCUGAUCGUAGUGUCGCGUUAGUAGCAUCCUGUAGUAGUGUCACAUUUUCUGUCAUGUGUGUACAUCCAUGACGAUUUUAUGACAGAAUCAAGAUAGUCAUACCUAUACUGUCGUACAAGUGCUCCAUGACAAUACCAAAAUUAUCAUCAUGGAAGUGUCCACUUCCAUGACAAUAAAUGGCGUGUCAUGGAUGUGUUUUCGUCAAGGGUAACCGACACGUGGCAUCCACUGUAACGGGGUGCCGUUAAGCUAUCAGAUUCCAAUUUGGAUCUGAUAACCCGUUAACAACCCUGACCAAUGGGGAUUUUCCAUGUGUAUAAUUCUCAUUCACCGGACGAUCCACGUGUGAGCUCAUCAUUGGGACAGAUGUCAUCCCUACAAUGGGCGGAAGACGCCUAUGAUAUGUCGACACGUGGCACAGCCCAACAGGGGCCCAUUUAAGAUAAAAAGGUUAGCCUAGCUAAAGGCCCACCAUUUUUUCGGACACUAGUGGAUCGGCCCGUUAACACCCUGCCAUGUUUUGGGUCAAAUUAAGGCCCAUAUCAAAUUAGGCAUGUUCACAGCCUAUCGUGUUUUGGGCUAAAUUAUGGCCCAUAUCAGAUCAAGCCCAUUAACCGGCCACUAUUCUUUUGGACCCAUUCUAAGCCGGGUUUGUAUUUCAGCCUGUUAAAUGCUCAUUUACCAGUUCGGCCUGAUAAUAGUUUCGGCCUGUUAGCGGCCCACUGGUGCAUCUGGGUCGUUGUCGGCCCGGUUUCACUUUAGGCCAUUUAACGACCCAUGCUGAAACUAGGCUAUUUCUUGUCCGAAGUGACUUUAGGCCUCUUAACAGUCUGUAGUCUUCGUGGACAAAAAUAAAACAAUAUUUUAUUUGGCAAAUCAAUAAGUUCUUAAAAAAAUGUUUAUCAUUUCUGGAUUAAAACAGUUCGGACUCCACCGAAAUAUGCAAAAUUAGGUUGAACUUUUAACCAUGGUCCUGGGCAGAAAAUGGAUUGUAAUAAAUUCCUUAAGAGUUAGAAAAUUGGCUGCAAAUUAUAAAAAAAAUUAGCAAAUGGGCUCUAUGUUGUCUAGCAUAGAUUUGGAGACUGACUUGUGGGCCUACUAAGUUCAUGUGUACACAAGGUUUCUCAAAAAAAGAAACAUAGUCAACAAUCGACUCUACCAUCGUUAGACCAUUAGAUGUCAAUCUAAGGGCAAUCGUGUCAGUAUCUGAUCUUCCUACUCUAGCCACCCAAACCAGAGCCGACGGAACCGCCUGCUCCUACCUCCCGUGGCCGGCUGUGCUGCCGGGCAGGCCUCACGGCCCCACCAUACUUGCAUCCCUGGCCUGGUCAUCCCUCUACUCACCCACACCUCCUUUUAUUCUUCGGCGAUGGCAGCCUCACACUGCAGUCGAACCAGUAAACCCUCGUGCCCACUCCGUGCGGGAAACAACUGCUGAGUCUUCCUCGACUCCGAGUCGUUCCCUUACUUGGCCUCGCUGUUGUCCACCGCCUUGGUGCUCUCGGCAUGGCGUGGUCAACGAAUGACAUCCAUCAGAAGAGGACUAUACGUGGAGAGGCUGACAGCUAGGUCCACGACCGCACGCAAGGAAGUGCCUCCUUUUUUGCGAGUAGGAAGUGCCUCCUCAUUACACCCAAAUAAUGAUUCCUCCUCCUGACAACUGGGACCCACCGGAAGGCCUCUGUAUUUCGCGAGAAAACAUUCCCCCCGCUGACAGCUCGGAUCCACCAGAUAUAUCUUCGCACAUGAGGAAGUGCCUCCUUAUUACGCACAAAAAAAUGAAUACCCCCACUACUAGGUGGGUCCCAGCAUAUUUGGAGGCUGAUUUGUGGGCCUACUAAGUUGAUGCGGAUGUAGGGCUUUGUCAACUUAGUCAAUAUAAACGAUUCUAGCUGCGGUGUAAGCCGUACGAUGUUUCAUCCAACGGUCGUCGUGCUUCUUUAACCUCUGGUCUUCUUGCUCCAGCCGCCCAAACCAACGCCGGUCGUGCCGACUGCUCCUACCUCCCGUGGCUAGCUGUGCUGUGGCACAAGCCUCACUGCCCCACUCCACUCCCGUCACUGGCCUGGCCAUCCCUGUACUCACCCAGACCUCCUGUUAUUCUCUGGCGAUGGCAGCCUCACACUGCAGUCGAACCAGUAAACCCUCGUAGUCCCCUCCUCGUGGGAAACAACUGCCUAGUCUUCCCCGGCUCUGGGUCAUUCCCUUCCUAGGCCUCACCUCGUUCACCGCCUUGGUGCUCUCGGCGCAGUAUGGUUAACGUGGUCAAGGAACGACUUCCAUCAGAAUAGGACUAUACGUGGAGAGACUGGCAGCUGGGUUCAUGGCCGCAACAAGGAAGUGCCUCCUUAUUACGCACAAAAUAAUUAUUCCUCCACCUGACAUCGGGGACCCACCGGAAGGGUCUCUAUAUUUUGCUAAAAAAAUGUUUGCCCCCUGAUAGCUAGGACCCACCAGCUACAUCUUCGCUUGCAAGGAAGCGCGUUCAUAUUGCGGGCAAAAAAAUGAUUCUUUCCCCUGAUAGCUGGGACCCACCAGCUAUAUCUUCGCACGCAAGGAAGUGCCUCCUUAUCCUUCCUAACAGUUGGAACCCAUCCAGUCGAAGCGUACGUAGCGUUGUCUGUCUGGUCGCGGCCGUGUAUGUACAUACUGGUCGAUCGUCUCUCUGUAGCGAUGAACCAUGGCCGAGUAAGGAGUGGCAUGUGUCUUUUCUAGGGUUUCUAAUUGCGUCGCACCAAGUGCCAAUAUUUUUCUCAAAUUUCUCAUAUAUCACGUCUAUUUAGAGUUUGCAACACCUUCAGUUGAACAUGUCAAUGUCAUGAUGAAACAACAUCAUAUGUCCCUUGAAUUCUAAAACCAAUGAAAUGAAAAAAAUGCACAUACACACUGACGUGGGAAGCGAGUGGCAACCUGAACAUAUUCCUAGUCACUAAUAAGCUACCCCGCAUGCCAUUCAUUGCGAAAAGGGAUACUUGUCCUUCUUCUCUUCCUCGUCUUCCCCUGCACCAUCUACUCCUAGCCUAUUCGUCAACCCGUUCCGUUGGCUCCAACCAACACCAAAUCAACAUCAAUUCAUUCGUCAGCGACGCCUCAUCUUCUUCUUCCUCCUUCAUUGCUAGUUUUAGUUCUCAUUCUUACCUAUUUCCUAGAAUAAUCUUCCUUUCUUUUUUUCGCUUUGUUUUUUGGAAUACUCUUUCCUUCUCCUACAUCAUGGACCACUUGGCUGCUUUAGUUCUUUUUUCCUUCUUACUAGAACAAUGCCCCUGGGUUGUAACAGGAUAUAAAUAUUCUAGUACGUUAGCUUGUGUUUUAUCUGUCAAUAAUAAUGCGAUUGUGUAAAUAAAUGUUCAUCAAAUUCUGACCAUGAAUUACCUUAUAUUUUGAUUAUAAGUUUGGUAAGUAAAUUAAAGUGGAAUUGGUUUGGAAGGUAAGUAAAUUAAGGUGAUUGAUUAUCAUAUACAUGGAAGUUUGGACGAAUGGAUGGUGGGAAGAAAGGUGAAAUGGAAAUCUUACGUUCUUUUUAAGUAGUGGAGAUUCUUGGAACACUCUUCCUUUCUACUAUAGCAUGAACCACUUGGCCAUUGUAGUGUUGUGUUAUCCUCGCCCGUGAACGUUUCGGCAACCUUCAGCGUGUGGACAUCCUGUAGAGCAUGGUACGCAUCCAUCUUGAUGAACGCUUGGUCACUCAUGUCGCGAGCGCAUGGUGGCGUUUGUCCAUGUUGGCAAGCAUUGCUUGACCAUGUCGCUGAGAGCCUGUUGACUGCCCUUGCCUGCGAACGCUUUCAAAAUGAUUUGACAUGAUUAACUAUCUGCUUAAAUAAUUAAUUACAUAAAUAAUUAACUACCUAUCUAAUUCUUUGCAUGCCUAAUUAACUGCCAACCAAAUCAAUUAAUUAUCUGGCUAAUAAAAAAAUCCUUACUUCUAGUUAUCCGUAAGCAUAACUAACAGUAUGCCUAAUUAAUCAAUUGCAUUAAUGACUCGGUUUUCAAAUUGAUUCGAUGCGAAAAAAUCCUAUUCCUAUUUAAACAGACCUAAUUAAUUGCAUAUGUAGUUAAUUUCUAGCUAAUUAAUUGCAUUAAUGGUUUGAUUUCCAAAUUGAUACAGCGCUUGAUUUCCAAAUUAUUUUUACAUGAAUGGCUGUUACGAACGACGACUAUGUGAAUAUUUCUUUUAUAAUAGAGAUAUGACACAUUUGACGUGCCUCUUGCAGCAGACUCAUUCUGCCAGGCCUACCGAGUAUUGUAGGACACAUUUCCUUGAAGAAUUUCUUAACAUUUGAAUCGACACACUUGAUUUUAGAAUGUACCUUGCAUGCCUCUCUGUAUAACUGACAAGAAAUAUAAUAUGACCGCAUACACGAACGCAUGUACGUGACUGUCCGACAACCCGCCUGCCGCCACAUAGGUGGGAGUGUGAAGGAAGGAAAAACCAGCAUGAAAGGGUGGUGGUGGGAGGUGAAGGCAAAAAUAAAUCGUGGAGACGAAAAUAAAUCAUGCGUACCGGCCUACCGAGUCCCCUUUAAUGGUAGAGAUAUGUGUGAUUUGGUAAGAUAAGAAAAUACAUAUGUGAUUUGGUAAGAUAAGAGAAAAGAUAUGUUGUUUUUGUUGUAUUAUGAAAGUUGUGAUUGUCAUUUAAUAGUAGAGACAAUGAAAUAAUAAAUGGCAGCACAUUGAGAAAUAUUUAAUCUUGUUUUGAAAGGUUAUCGAGAAAAUCUUAUGUUUGUCUUUUAAAAAGGUGAUCUCACAUAUAUGGUACGAUUUUUGAAUUCUUAAUUACCUAUUAUUUACAUGAUUGAAUUGAAUCAACAUCUGCCAAAGCAAACACAAAACAAGAUCUUUUGGAUUUGGUUUUUUAAUGGGAAGGGGAAAUAAACUAGUGCGAGGGGGUGGUGGGAGGUGGGUCAAAAAUAAACCUGUGGGUGGGGGUGGUGGGAACUGAGGCAAAAAUAAACUAGUGGAAGGGGGGUGGGAGUGGAGGCAAAAAUAAAUCGAUGAGUAAAGACUACCAACUCUUCCUUAAGGAGUUGAGAUACAUUGGUGAGAUAGAAAAAAAUGAUGGGGAGAUUUAACCGUAAUGGAGAUGACGCUACCAACUCACUAUGGUGUAUAGGUUUAUGCCGAUUCUGAUAGUAUGUUGAUCACAAAAUUAAUAGGUUGGUUAGGAAAAAUAAAAUAAUACAUAAAACAUAGAAGAAAGAAGAAGAAGAAAACACACACGUUAAAUGGACUGGCCAACUUCAAUUAUAGUUGAUUUGAUAAUAAUUGAUUUGAUUUGGGUAUGAGUAAUGGAAUGCAAAGAAAAUUUGGAUUAAAUUGAGAUUAUUUCAGUUAGUUAAUGCAUGUCGUUAUUUUAGGAAAGUGCCGAUUGAUUGAGCUAAUGCGCGCGUUAAAUGAGUCAACUCCAUUGGCUGCACUUGAGCAAAAUGUCGCAUGUAAAACGUUUGUGAUGUAAUAUAGGAUUGAUGGAGGUGAGGCGACGCUUGUAACGUCCCUUUAGGAGUAGAGAUGACAACAUGAUUUUCUUUUCCUGUUUUUACUCAGCAUAGUUGAGUUGGACCACAUAUGCAAAGUGUCAAAAUCUACGCAUGCUACGAAAAGCCUCGUAACCUGAAUAUUAUUAACAAAAAUAUCACAAACGCGUGAUUGUUUUUCCUUGAAUAUUAUAUAAAUACAAAUAAACUUCAGGCUUCCUUUUCCCUAAUCGAUUUUUAAUGCCUUUAAUUGAUUUUUUGACAGGACGUCCCCAAUGGAGUCUUUUUUCCCUUUCUAUAAUACAAAGUCACAUAUCUGCCGUCCGUCCUCCAUUAGUCAUUCGGCCAAACCAUCUGAGCCGUCCAAAUCCAUCUCCUCCAGUCCUCCACGGCCUCGACUUUUUUUUUUCCUCUCCACCAUCCCGUAUCUCUCCUCUCCCUUCUGACCUACCCAAGCUCCAGUCCACCGCCGCUGUGCCCUAGAACUGCCGCCGCGCCCGCCCUCUGCCCCUCACGCGCCUCGUCGCCGGCGCCCUCCCUGUCUCGUAGCGUCCCUGCUCUCUCCCCCCCACGCGCAAUCUUGGACUUCGGUUUUGAGGUAUGAACUUUACGCAUUCAGGUAUAUUACUUCAAUCCCGAGCUAAUCUCCAGAAAUUUAUGGUGUCUAGAUCCGCCCCUGCUAUCGAUUGCAGGUUUGCAGAGGGCUCGUCGACAUGUCUUGGGCGCCAAUCGAGAAUGACCCUGGUAAAAUUUACUUUUAUAACUGAAUGGAUGGAUUAUCUGGUACUAGUUGAACUAGGUUUGCUCUGUGCAUUCCGUCUUGCGGUGUACUGAUAAGGCUCGUCCAUGGUCAUUAGUCCUCACUGGUGCUACUUGUUUCUAGUUUUACCGGAAAUUUACUAGAUGUGGAUGGAUAUGCCAGAAACCAUCAUGUGUGGUCUUGUGAUGGCAUCUUGGACCUUCGUCUUGUGAGCUGUUACUUAAUAUAACUGUUUAAUUUUGUGUUUAAUAGUCAUAGAGGAUUGGAGUAUCACCAAAGAACUAGCUGUGGACAGGGGUGCGUGGAAGUUUGCUAUCCAUGUGCCUGAACCAUGAGUUGGUCGCGAGAUCUUAUGGGUUUCACCUCUAGCCUACCCAAACUUGUUUGGGACUAAAGGCUUUGUUGUUGUUGUUGUUGUUGUUAGUCAUAAAAGAUUGAGACAUGUGCAGCGUCGCCCAUUUCACCUCAGGAGAGUGCCUAGCUAUUUGCUCAGGUUGUUUGUAGUCCUACAGAGGCUUGCCAAGUAGGUUGUUGUUUGAAGUUUACUACGGAUAUGACUAAUAAAAUGGUUGUUUGCGAUUCAAAAUUCACAGUACUAAUGUGUCUUCAUUGUGAAUCAAGAGGAAAUUCCUCUCGUACUAAGUUACUCAAGUGUGUGUUGAUUCCCCCUCUCUUAACAAGUAUCAUUGGAUUGGUGAAAAAAACUGGACUUAUCUUCCAAAGCAUGCUUUUGUAUGUUAGCUACAUGUUCUAACUAGAACAUUUUUAAUUUCUGCCUUUACACUUUUCCAAGGAAAGAGGAAAAACUCUCAACCUCUGCAUACUGUGUAGGUGUUUUUACGGAGCUGCUGCAACAGUUGCAAUUGAAGGGUCUCCAAGUAAGUAAUCACCUACCAUGAGUUCACUUUUCUUUCGUAAGUCAGCUGGGCACUAAUCACUCGAUGCAUUAGUACAAGGGUAAGAACAUUUUUGCAUUCAGCGCUCCAACAACAACAACAACAACAACAACAACAAAGCCUUUAGUCCCAAGCAAGUUGGGGUAGGCUAGAGGUGAAACCCAUAAGAUCUCGCAACCAACUCAUGGCUCUGGCACAUGGAUAGCAAGCUUCCAUGCACCCCUGUCCAUAGCUAGCUCUUCGGUGAUACCCCAAUCCUUCAGGUCUCUCUUAACGGACUCCUCCCAUGUCAAAUUCGGUCUACCCCGCCCUCUCUUGACAUUCUCCGCACGCUUUAGCCAUCCGCUAUGCACUGGAGCUUCUGGAGGCCUGCGCUGGAUAUGCCCAAAUCAUCUCAGACGAUGUUGGACAAGCUUCUCUUCAAUUGGUGCUACCCCAACUCUAUCUCGUAUAUCAUCAUUCCGGACUCGAUCCUUCCUCGUGUGGCCACACAUCCAUCUCAACAUACGCAUCUCCGCCACACCUAACUGUUGAACAUGUCGCCUUUUAGUCGGCCAACACUCAGCGCGAACCGCCGUCCUGUAGAACUUGCCUUUUAGCUUUUGUGGCACUCUCUUGUCACAGAGAAUGCCAGAAGCUUGGCGCCACUUCAUCCAUCCGGCUUUGAUCCGAUGGUUCACAUCUUCAUCAAUACCCCCAUCCUCCUGCAGCAUUGACCCCAAAUACCGAAAGGUGUCCUUCUGAGGUACCCCCUGACCAUCAAGGCUAACCUCCUCCUCCUCACACCUAGUAGUACUGAAACCGCACAUCAUGUACUCGGUUUUAGUCCCACUAAGCCUAAACCCUUUCGAUUCCAAGGUUUGUCUCCAUAACUCUAACUUCCUAUUUACCCCCGCCCGUAGGGCUGGAAUUCGAGCCGAGUCGAGCCAGCUCGGCUCGACUCGCUAGAGCUCGUUUCGUUAACGAGCUAGCUCGACUCGACUCGUUAUUAUAACGAGCUCAAUCCAAGAUUGGCUCGACUCGUAUAACUCGCGAGCUGGCUCGUUUAGCUUGUUAAGCUCGUUAAAGAUAUGAACAUAAAACCCUCAUAUAUUAUAAAAUGAUUAUGUAUAUAUUAAACAUAUAUAUCACUAAAGAAUAGUAAUUUCCUUGUAAUGCAUGAGUCUCCUAGGCGGUUGGGCCUUCAACGGCUAGGCCUUGUGUUGUGCGCCUGGGACAUAGGGUGCUGAGUGGCUGAACUUUUUUUGUAUUGGGAGUGGCUGAUCUUUUGUACCGAGCCUAACGAGUUACACGAGUACUUGUGAGAUUGGCUCGUUUAACUUGGUCUAUAAACGAUCUUAAACUAAAGCUCGGCUCGACUCGUUAUUCUUCGAGUUCGAGUCGAUUCGAGCCGAGUCACGAGCUACUCGUUUAGCUCGCGAGCUUCGAGCUUUUUUUCCAGCCCUACCCGCCCGACUAUCGUCAACUAGCACCACAUCAUCCGCAAAGAGCAUACACCAUGGGAUAUCUCCUUGUAUAUCCCUUGUGACCUCAUCCAUCACCAAUGCAAAAAGAUAAGGGCUCAAAGCUGACCCCUGAUGCAGUCCUAUCUUAAUCGGGAAGUAAUCAGUGUCGACAUAUGAUAAAAAAACUUGCUAUUUUGACCAAGUUGCAAAAUUAAGUGUGCUUUUCUAUUUCAUUAUCUGGUUGACUUAUAGGCUCACAAAUACUAAAACUAUGUUUUUGAAGCACAUCGACGCUUUUCUUUUAAAAAUGUUGCACUACAAUCUGGUUUAGUUUUCGGAGCUAAUAAUCUGUUUCUGGUUUCUACAUGUGCUUCUUUCCACGAAACAUGGGAAUCUUUUUAUACCUCCUCAAAAGCUGUUAUUUUAUAAUAUUCUAUGUUAUUCUUCCUUAACAGGUUGAUGAACUCUACUCACUUGAUCUUGAUGCCCUCAAUGAUCUUCAGUAUGCUAUCCCUGCUGCCCAUUACCAUGAAUGUCAUUUUUUUUCCUGAAUCAACUGUAUCAAACAAAUUGGUGUUUUUGCAGGCCAAUUUAUGGGCUUAUAGUUCUGUACAAAUGGCGACCUCCAGAAAAAGAUGAGCGCCCUGUUAUCAAGGAUGCGGUCCCAAAUCUGUUUUUUGCUAAUCAGGUCAGGGUAGUUACGUUGAUUGAGUUUGUUUGCGCCGUGUUUACUCUGCAUCAGUUUUAUAACCAAAUCUUUUUUUACUCGUAGAUAAUUAACAGUGCAUGUGCAACCCAAGCUAUUGUUUCUGUUCUGUUGAACUCUUCUGGCAUCACCCUUAGCGAGGACCUCAAAAAGCUCAAGGAAUUUGCAAAGGACAUGCCGCCAGAGCUCAAAGGAUUGGCUAUAGUGAAUUGUGAAAGCAUUCGUAUGACCAGUAACUCGUUUGCAAAGUCAGAUGACUACUCUGAGGAACAGAAAUCCAAGGAUGAUGAUGUCUACCAUUUCAUUAGCUAUGUUCCUGUUGACGGCGUCCUGUAUGAGCUUGAUGGACUAAAGGAAGGACCGAUUAGCCUGGGAAAAUGCCCAGGUGGUAUUGGGGAGAUGGGGUGGCUGAAGAUGGUACAGCCUGUCAUCCAGGAACGCGUUGAUAAGUUCGCUCAGAAUGAGAUAAGGUUCAGUGUCAUGGCUAUCACAAAGAACCGGAAGGAAAUUUUCAUCAUGGAGCUCAAGGAACUUCAGAGGAAGAGGGAGAACCUCUUAUCACAAAUGGGCGAUCCUUCUGCCAAUCGGCAAAGGCCAUCCAUUGAGCGGUCACUCGCAGAGGUUGCUGCUCAGAUUGAGGCUGUGACCGAGAAGAUCAUAAUGGAGGAAGAGAAGGCAAAGAAGUGGAAGACAGAGAACAUCAGGAGGAAGCACAACUACGUGCCUUUCUUGUUCAAUUUCCUCAAGAUCCUCGAGGAGAAGCAGCAACUGAAGCCCCUGAUAGAGAAGGCGAAACAGAAUUCUCACAGCCGUAACCCUAAGUGAAACCUGCGUUGUAAAAUUUUAUCGUCUUGGUUGUUUUGGUUUUGUGUAGAGAUGGCUGACUGGCUUUGUUUCCUAGCUGAAUGGGCCUUGUAGUUCUAGUCCUAGACAGGCCAUAUAUCCGAUACCGUCCUGGUUUACUCAUGCAGAUCUUAAAACAUUCAUGUAGGGGGAACACCCUGACUCCUUACCAGAAUUAUAUGUGCAUCAGAGGGUUGUUUCCCUGUCUAAUUCUUCCCAAACUUUAACUGAAAGUUUGACAAUCAUGGCAGUUUUUUUAGGGUUAAGUUCAUAUGGACUAUUGCAUGCAUAAACCAUUAAACAAUUUCUUGAAUACUUGCAUCUCCGAACUGAUUCUGACCUAUCUUGAAAUAUGAAGGAAAAAAACAUAGGCUAGAUAUUUUCUUGGCAAACAACUAAAGAAUAUAUUCGUGGCAAAGAACAGAAACACACUGAUCUUGAAAUAUGAAGUAAAAAAACAUAGGCUAGAUAUUUUCUUGGCAAACAACUAAAGAAUAUAUUCGUGGCAAAGAACAGAAACACACUGGAUUCAGAUUUGAUACAUUACAAGAUCAGAACAACAGCCACAGCCACUGAGGCAUGGAAUAUACCACCAAAGAACAAAGGAACACCCCAGCCACGUUUACAGCAUACACACAAACUAUAACAAAACACCAAAUUAUGAAUUUGGGAGGCGUGGAUGAUCCAAACCAUGGAUUGUACAAUGACGAACAGAGCGGCUAAGAGAAGUUGAGUGCCAGGAUUUCGAUGUUGCGCCAAGCAAUGUGAUUUAUCCUGGGUUCGCAGGCAGAAUGCACGCCAACCACAGCAAUCGACUGAUAUACAGUCGAUACCCCAGCCACAGAGUGCACACAAUUUCACAUUGACAACUUAGCAUCCUAGCCCGUGUCAAGAGCCGUAGACCUCAGCACCAGUGGAGCCUUCGCAUAACACGUAUACUCACUGAACCUCAAGACUCUUCCUUGCCUUUUGCAGAUUGCUCCCCCACGUCAGCCUUUUUCUUGUCACUGACUGGUUUUUUGAACUGCACCAAGAUCAUGGUCAUGUUGUCGCAUCCGUCUCCGCCCAUUGUUGAUGGAGCCAGGCAUCUGUCGAGCACUCUUUCACACACUGCAGAAAGGCUGCUCUCCUGCAUUUUUGUGUCGUUGUUAAACAUAACAACUACUCCCUCUGUAAACUAAUAUAAGACUUUUU
rnacentral:lncRNA from 1 species